rnacentral:rRNA from 1 species
GUUGCGGUAAAAAGCUCCCUAGUUGGAUUUCUGUUGAGGACGACCGGUCCAUACCACGUAUGCGCAUCUGGCUCGGCCUCGGCAUCCUCUCGAAAGACGUUUCUGCGCUUGAUUGCGUGGGACGGAUUCCGGGACUUUUACUUUGAGGAAAUUAGAGUGUUCACGGCAGGCUAUCGCCAGAAUAUAUUAGCAUGGAAUAAUACUAUAGGAUCUUGGUUCUAUUUUGUUGGUUUCUAGAGCUGAGAUAAUGAUUAAUAGGGACAAUUGGGGGCAUUCGUAUCAACACGUCAGAGGUGGAAUUCUUGGAUUGUGUUGCGACGAACUACUGCGAAAGCAUUUGCCAAGGAUGUUUUCAUUGAUCAAGAACGAAAGUAAGGGGAUCGAAGAUGAUUAGAUACCGUCGUAGUCUUUACCAUAAACUAUGCCAACUAGAGAUGGGGCAUCGUUCACUUACGACUUGCUCCGCACCUUAUGAGAUA